AGGCCAUGCUGCAGUGCUUACUAUGUGCCAAGCACUAUGGUAGAUAUUGUUCAACCAGAUCACAGUCCCUGUCCUACGGUCCUUGUCACAGUCUGAAGGGGAGGGAAAGCAGGUAUUUAAUCUCCAGUUUACAGGUAAAGAAACUGAGGCAUGGAAGAGUUAAGCAACUUGCCCAUGGCAACACAGCAGACAGAUGGAGGAGUCAUGAUUAGAACGCAGGUCUUCUCAUCUCCCAGUCAUAUGCUCUAUCCACUGGGACAUGCUGCUUCUCAAGAAAUUAAUCUUAAAUUAAAAUUUAAAACAAAUUUAUCUUCAGCCGAGGACCAUUUGGAAACUUAUGCCUGUGGGUAGAGAUAGUUCUGCAUGUCAUGUUGAAGCCCCAUAUUAGAUAAAAUAUGCAGGGCUUCUGGGCUGGUGCCUAGUUUGGUUUUAGUUGAUUAAUCUAAAUGGCAAUGGGUGACAUACAAUGAUACCUGAAACCCCAUAAAUCCCCAUUCUGCCCCAAAAUGCAUUGUGGAUCUUCAGAUGUCUUGGGCCUUAUGAACUGACAUGUGGUUUGGUUCCCCGGCUACUAUAUGUUACAAGGAAGUACACAAUAUCAUUAUUUUUGCCCUACUGCUCUCUUACCCAGUUGCUCCUCUUUUAAACAACCUCAUUGGUUUCUACAGGUGAUGAGAUUGAAGGCGGAGAUUGCUGUUAUUGCCUGGGUCUUCCAACUGAUCAGACAAAUUGGCAAACAGAGUGCCAGGAUUGCACCAUGUGGGCUGGGUUGCAGUGGGGGAGACGAGUGAGGAUGUAAGCUUGCUGUGAGGAGGGAAUAUGUCUACCAACUCUGAUGUACUCUUCCAAAUGCUUAGUACAGUGCUCUGUACAAAGUAAGUGAUCAGUAAAAACCACUGAUGAUGAUAAGUAGAGGGACGAGAGGAGAUGGAGUACUUCAAGGCCAGUGUUUAAGAAUUUGAUUGAUUGAUUGAUUGAUUGAGAGAAAUGCAGACAAUUUACCAGCCUUGGAGACUCAUUCUCCCAAACUGAAGUUGUUUUGUCGGCUCCAGCCGAGACACAAUUGGCCAUGUGCAGAGUCCAGCUGGACAGAUGUCUUCUCUCCUCCACUGUGCCUGCCUUUGGCAUGGGGAUGGCCAGAUUCUAGUGUGCAGCCCUAAGGCUGCCAAAGCAAUUGUUAGAAGAGCUUGGCUUCUCCUAGUCCUCAACAAGCUCUUUGUUUCACAUCUUUAGGGAUGGAUAGUAACUGGAUUGAAUAAAGAAUUGAAUUGGAUGUCCAUGAUGCGUCCCAUUGAUUUUCAUUUAUUCCUCAACAUUGAAAGAAAAACUCUACCUCCUCUAUCAUGUUUAAUUCUCAUUGCUUCGCAGGAAAAGACCAGAAUAGGAAUUUGUUGGCCCUGGUUUCACAGAUAGAUGAAAAAUUGAAUUAAAAAAAGGAAAACCAUGAUCCUUAUAUAAUCCCAGCUCCACCACUUGCCCGUUAUGUGAUUUUGGGCAAGUCACUUCAUUUCUCUUUGCCUCAGUUACCUCAUCUGUAAAAAUGGGGAUUAAGACUGUGAACCCACGUGGGACAACUUGAUUAUCUUGUAUGCACAUCAGUGCUAAGAACAGUGAUUGGCACAUAGUAAGUGCUUAACAAAUACCAUUAUUAUUAUUAUUGUUACAACCAUGGAUGACAUAGGAAUUUGGCCACUGGUUUCUGGGAGGGCUAACUGAUAGUUUCUGUUUUGGCCCAUUGUUACCUCUGUGGUGGAGUGGACUUCUUCUCUCUAUUCAUUCAGAUCGCAAAGGGAAAGUGGAUGAUGUUUGUUUUUCUGUAGGGUUAUUUGGUCCCAAUGGAACCAAGCCAAUCUGUAAGGCUUAAAGAGAAAUACCAAGUGGGUAACAGUGCUGGUGAUCAUCUGAACUGCACUGAGGUGUCUGAUCCAGCUGUAAGCAUAGACACAUAGACAUGAAGAUCCUUUUUUGAGAAAUCCAAUGGAAGAUCAGCCCUGAAGUU
rnacentral:lncRNA from 1 species